rnacentral:rRNA from 1 species
UACGAAGGGGGCUAGCGUUGUUCGGAAUUACUGGGCGUAAAGCGCACGUAGGCGGAUCGAUCAGUCAGGGGUGAAAUCCCAGGGCUCAACCCUGGAACUGCCUUUGAUACUGUCGAUCUGGAGUAUGGAAGAGGUGAGUGGAAUUCCGAGUGUAGAGGUGAAAUUCGUAGAUAUUCGCAAGAACACCAGUGGCGAAGGCGGCUCACUGGCCCGAUACUGACGCUGAGGCACGAAAGCGUGGGGAGCAAACAGGGAUAGAAACC